CAAAUCAGGUAGGACUACCCGCUGAACUUAAGCAUAUCAAUAAGCGGAGGAAAAGAAACUAACAAGGAUUCCCCUAGUAACUGCGAGUGAAGCGGGAAAAGCUCAAAUUUAAAAUCUGGCGGCUUUGGUCGUCCGAGUUGUAUUCUAUAGAAGUGUUUUCCGCGUUGGACCGUGUAUAAGUCUCUUGGAAUAGAGCGUCAUAGAGGGUGAGAAUCCCGUCUUUGACACGGACUACCAAUGCUUUGUGAUACACUCCCAAAGAGUCGAGUUGUUUGGGAAUACAGCUCAAAAUGGGUGGUAAAUUCCAUCUCAAGCUAAAUAUUGGCGAGAGACCGAUAGCGAACAAGUACCGUGAGGGAAAGAUGAAAAGCACUUUGGAAAGAGAGUUAAACAGUACGUGAAAUUGCUGAAAGGGAAACGCUUGAAGUCAGUCGCGUUAGCUAGAACUCAACCAGGCUUGCUUGGCGUAUUUUCUAGUUAACGGGCCAGCAUCAGUUUUGACCGCAGGAAAAGGGCCAGGGAAAUGUGGCAUCUUCGGAUGUGUUAUAGUCUCUGGUCGUAUACUGUGAUUGGGACUGAGGACCGCAGCACGCGCAAGCUGUGCUUAGGAUGCUGGCGUAAUGGCUUUAAACGACCCGUCUUGAAACACGGACCAAGGAGUCUAACAAACCUGCGAGUAUUUGGGUGGUAAACCCGAGUGCGCAAUGAAAGUGAAAGUUGGGAUCCCUGUCGUGGGGAGCACCGACGCCCGGACCAGACCUUCUUGUGACGGAUCUGCGGUAGAGCAUGUUUGUUGGGACCCGAAAGAUGGUGAACUAUGCCUGAAUAGGGUGAAGCCAGAGGAAACUCUGGUGGAGGCUCGUAGCGAUUCUGACGUGCAAAUCGAUCGUCAAAUUUGGGUAUAGGGGCGAAAGACUAAUCGAACCAUCUAGUAGCUGGUUCCUGCCG
rnacentral:rRNA from 1 species